CCCAGCCAUCAGCCGUUGGGAACAGGUAGCGACCGCCGACAUUGCCGCCGACCAUCCGCCCGACGCCGGGGCCACGGUUGUUGAUGUGGCGGAUGUCCCAGGUCUGCUGGGCGUUAUCCAUGGCGUUCGCCAUCGCCUCUUGCAUCGAAACAUCGACAUGCUGGCCGGCGCCAUCGUUGACCCCGCGCGCAUAGAGUGCGGUCAUCGCACCGACUGCGGCCUGGAAGUUCACCUGGGCAUAGGCCUGCGG
rnacentral:rRNA from 1 species